UACGGAGGGUGCGAGCGUUGUCCGGAAUCAUUGGGCGUAAAGGGCGCGUAGGUGGCCCAGUAAGCGUGCGGUGAAAGCUCGGGGCUCAACCCCGAGUCGGCCGUGCGAACUACUGGGCUGGAGCACUGUAGAGGCAGGCGGAAUUCCGGGUGUAGCGGUGAAAUGCGCAGAUAUCAGGAAGAACACCUAUGGCGAAGGCAGCUCUCUGGGACGGUACUGACGCUGAGACGCGAAAGCGUGGGGAGCGAACAGG
rnacentral:rRNA from 1 species